rnacentral:rRNA from 1 species
GACGUAGGGGGCAAGCGUUGUUCGGAAUCACUGGGCGUAAAGCGCACGUAGGCGGAUUGUUAAGUCAGGGGUGAAAUCCUGGAGCUCAACUCCAGAACUGCCUUUGAUACUGGCGAUCUUGAGUCCGGGAGAGGUGAGUGGAACUCCGAGUGUAGAGGUGAAAUUCGUAGAUAUUCGGAAGAACACCAGUGGCGAAGGCGGCUCACUGGCCCGGUACUGACGCUGAGACGCGAAAGCGUGGGGAGCAAACAGG